GCAGGAGAGAGAAAGAAGUGAUAAGGAGUGUUGGCUGCAGACUGCAACCCUGAAAGUGUGUAAAAAUCAGCCACCUGCUUGCAGGGAGAAGGACUGGGAGGAAUUUGGAUAAUUUGCAUACUUUCUGGGCUGAACAAACAAUAUGCGUGGAACAUCAGAAGGCUUUCCCUGAAGAAACACGGAGGAUCACUUCUUACCAUGAAGCAACUCACUGAAGAAGCUAUAGAGCAAUACAUCCAUAAUAAGGUAAGGAUGG
rnacentral:lncRNA from 11 species